rnacentral:tRNA from 1 species
GGCCUCGUAGCUCAAGUGGCUAGAGCGUUGGGUGUACUAAAGCCUUCCCCUUAUUGGCGUGGGUUCGACCCCCACCGAGGCCG